AGUGAACGCUGGCGGUAGGCCUAACACAUGCAAGUCGAACGGCAGCACAAGAGAGCUUGCUCUCUGGGUGGCGAGUGGCGGACGGGUGAGGAAUACAUCGGAAUCUACUCUGUCGUGGGGGAUAACGUAGGGAAACUUACGCUAAUACCGCAUACGACCUACGGGUGAAAGCAGGGGACCUUCGGGCCUUGCGCGAUUGAAUGAGCCGAUGUCGGAUUAGCUAGUUGGCGGGGUAAAGGCCCACCAAGGCGACGAUCCGUAGCUGGUCGGAGUGAAUGCGCAGCCACACUGGAACUGGGGCACGGUCCAGACUCCGACGGGAGGCAGCAGUGGGGAAUAUUGGACAAUGGGCGCAAGCCUGAUCCAGCCAUACCGCGUGGGUGAAGAAGGCCUUCGGGUUGUAAAGCCCUUUUGUUGGGAAAGAAAUCCAGCUGGCUAAUACCCGGUUGGGAUGACGGUACCCAAAGAAUAAGCACCGGCUAACUUCGUGCCAGCCGCCGCCGUAA
rnacentral:rRNA from 1 species